rnacentral:rRNA from 1 species
UACGAAGGGGGCUAGCGUUGCUCGGAAUCACUGGGCGUAAAGCGCACGUAGGCGGCUUUCUAAGUCGGUGGUGAAAUCCUGGAGCUCAACUCCAGAACUGCCUUCGAUACUGGAAAGCUCGAGUCCGGGAGAGGUGAGUGGAACUGCGAGUGUAGAGGUGAAAUUCGUAGAUAUUCGCAAGAACACCAGUGGCGAAGGCGGCUCACUGGCCCGGUACUGACGCUGAGGUGCGAAAGCGUGGGGAGCAAACAGG